rnacentral:rRNA from 1 species
UACGUAGGGACCGAGCGUUAUCCGGAUUCAUUGGGCGUAAAGAGCUCGUAGGCGGCUAUUCAAGUCGAACGUGAAAUCUCGGGGCUCAACUCCGAGCCUGCGUUCGAUACUGGGUAGCUAGAGUCUGGUAGGGGGAUCUGGAAUUCCUGGUGUAGCGGUGGAAUGCGCAGAUAUCAGGAGGAACACCGGUGGCGAAGGCGGGAUCCUGGGCCAGUACUGACGCUGAGGAGCGAAAGCGUGGGGAGCAAACGGG